rnacentral:rRNA from 1 species
AGCUCCAUUAGUGUAUAUUAAAGUUGUUGCGGUUAAAAAGCUCGUAGUUGGAUUUCUGUUGGGUAUCGCGUGGUCUGCUCCUCGAGUACGUAUCUGCGUCGAUCCUGGCAUCCUCGCAACGCUCUGUGGCAUUAAUUUGCUGCUUGGCUUGCGACUUUUACUUUGAGGAAAUUAGAGUGUUCACGGCAGGCAAUCGCCCGAAUACAUUAGCAUGGAAUAAUACUAUAGGACCUCGGUUCUAUUUUGUUGGUUUCUAGAAUUGAGGUAAUGAUUAAUAGGGACAAUUGGGGGCAUUCGUAUCAACACGUCAGAGGUGGAAUUCUUGGAUUGUGUUGCGACGAACUACUGCGAAAGCAUUUGCCAAGGAUGUUUUCA